GUGAGGAAUAUUGCGCAAUGGGCGAAAGCCUGACGCAGCGACGCCGCGUGGGGGAUGAAGGUCUUCGGAUUGUAAACCCCUUUCGGGAGGGAAGAUGGGACGGGCAACCGUUCGGACGGUACCUCCAGAAGCAGCCACGGCUAACUUCGUGCCAGCAGCCGCGGUAAUACGAAGGUGGCAAGCGUUGUUCGGAUUUACUGGGCGUAAAGGGAGCGUAGGCGGUCUGGUAAGCCCUCCGGGAAAUCUCCCGGCCUAACCGGGAAAGGUCGGAGGGGACUGCUUGACUAGAGGGCGGGAGAGGAGCGCGGAAUUCCCGGUGUAGCGGUGAAAUGCGUAGAGAUCGGGAGGAAGGCCGGUGGCGAAGGCGGCGCUCUGGAACGAUCCUGACGCUGAGGCUCGAAAGCGUGGGGAGCAAACAGGAUUAGAUACCCCUGUAGUCC
rnacentral:rRNA from 1 species